CCCAUUUCUCCCUAUAGUAUAUAUGUGACACCCUAAUAGUCUCGUUUCGAAUGAGAAUAGAAUUAUGAUUGAAAAACUUAAAAGAUCACGUACCCUAACAAUGAUAUCUAGACUUAAGCAUAUUUUGGGCCAGUGAUUUGAAUCGAAUGAGUUGUUAUUGUUAAUAGAUCGGAUCGUUAUAUUUGGAAUUAUAACCAGUUUACCAAUCAAAAGUGUGCGGGAGGCUUUACAUCUUUUGGGCUAUGUGUGUGAUCAUGUUGAUGAGGACGUUAGAGAUGGUUCGGAUCUAAUAAGUUAUUAUUGCUAGUAGAUCGAAUCGUAAUAAUAUAUGAUCUAAAGCGACCUUUCAUUCUCUACUAU
rnacentral:lncRNA from 1 species